CACCCUGCGGCAACUGAGUGUCUUUUCCCUGUAACUCAGGAAGAAUCCUGACAGACAAGCCAAACGAAUGGAAACACAUGAACUAUGAACCAAUGGCUGAGGGGUCCCCAACAGGAUCAGGCCCUCUGAAUGGAUUGAGAAAAAAAUACAAGAAUACUAAUAUAUCAAACUAAAGGGACAAGAAGAAAACAAAGCAUCCUCAAAAGCUGCAACAAAGGAAGUUUCUACUUGAUUCAUAUUGAUCGCCUGCCUCCAACAGCAUUGUAUCAACUUGAUUAGUGGCUCUUCUACAAGGCCCCCUUGGUGGAACUGAUGCUCUGUGAUGGAAGCCAAUAGUCCAACCAUUAGAUAGAGCACUGAUAGAUUCAGUGGCAGGAGGAAUGGGGACAUGGCACAACACAUGCUGGAUCUUAUUCACCUGGCUUCCCUAGAGUUAAACAGAAAUUUUAAAGAGUACAUAUUGGAGGAACCACUGAAUGUCUUAAAGAACAGCUGAACGAAGACCUGGUCCUAGGAAGAACAGAACUCUCCAACCCUUCAUAUAGCAGAAUUGACAAUAUAGACAAAAUGAAGCUGGAGGUGAGAGCAUCUCUCAAGACUGUGGUAGCCAGAAUGGAAAAACAAUGAGAAAACCAUCUUAACUCUGAUUAACAAAUCAAAGCAUACUCAAAGAAGGGUACUUAUCACAAAAGAGAUUGCACAUGAUGUGGGCAGAAUGUUGUGCAAGGAGAAUCUAAUAAUACACACACACACACACACACACACACACACACACACACACACACAUCCAGAAAGAGAAGCAUACAUACUACAAAAAUGUAAACUUUAAAACACCAGUAAAUAAAAUAAUUA